UUAUAAUUUUUAGUACGAAAGGACCACUAUUGUGAAAUUUUUUUUUAUUUUUGAUUAGUUUU
rnacentral:rRNA from 1 species